GUUCCAUUUCUUUUAUUAAUUUGGUAGCCUACCUCUGCUCUUUUUCUAGUGCCAUAAUAACAGGUGCCCAAAAUUUCACAGCAUAUUCAAGAUGUGGUCUUACCAGUGAUUUAUAAAGAGGCAAAAUUAUAUUCUCAUCCCGAGAAUGAAUGCCCUUUUUCAUGCAUGAGAAUACCUUACUGGCCUUAGCCACUGCUGAUUGACAUUACACAAUGUUGCAUAGUUUGUGGUCUAUAACAAUUCCCAAGUCCUUUUCAUGUGUUGUCAUCCCUAAUUCGCUUCCAUUAAGGGUAUAUGUUGCUUGUGCAUUCUUUACGCCGAAGUGCAUAACUUUGCAUUUUUCAACAUUAAAUUUCAUCUGCCAUUUGAGUACCCAGUCCCCCAGUCUAUCUAAAUCCCUCUGCAGCAAAGUAAUAUCUUGCACACAUUGUAUUAUUUCACAGAGUUUUGUGUCAUCUGCAAAAACUGAAACAUGACUUUCAAUACUUUUUUCAAGAUCAUUUAUAAACAUGUUAAAUAGAAGGGGUCCCAGAACAGACCCCUGAGGGACACCACUUGCCACCUCUGUCCAGCUUGAAAAUUUACCAUUAACGACAACUCUUUGUACUCUAUUUUUAAGCCAAUGUUCCACCCAAGAACAAGCAUUUUCAUCUAGACCGAUUUCCUUGAGUUUGAACACUAAUCUAUUGUGUGGAACUGUAUCAAA